rnacentral:rRNA from 1 species
UACGUAGGGUGCAAGCGUUGUCCGGAAUUAUUGGGCGUAAAGAGCUCGUAGGCGGUUUGUCGCGUCGAAUGUGAAAACCCGGGGCUCAACCCCGGGCCUGCAUUCGAUACGGGCAGACUAGAGUUCGGUAGGGGAGUCUGGAAUUCCUGGUGUAGCGGUGAAAUGCGCAGAUAUCAGGAGGAACACCGGUGGCGAAGGCGGAUCUCUGGGCCUUACCUGACGCUCAGGCGCGAAAGCUAGGGGAGCGAACAGG